UUGGGGUGUGUUAGGGACCAAUUAGUACUACUUUUUAUAUAUUUUUAUUGGUCCCUUUUACCAAUUUUUGAUGUAAUUACACACUUUUAUUCUCACUAUUUUGUAUAAAUGCAAUUAGGUUUAAUUUAUGUUGUUUUGAGUAGUUAUUUCACAUAUUUGUUAGUUUUGUAUUACCAAUUUUUGAUGUAAUUACACACUUUUAUUCUCACUAUUUUGUAUAAAUGCAAUUAGGUUUAAUUUAUGUUGUUUUGAGUAGUUAUUUCACAUAUUUGUUAGUUUUGUAGAAUUUUUGGACAAUAGAGCUUCGGAAUGCAUAAUCAUAAUUUGGAAGAAGCGUUGAAUGCAAUUUGGAGGCCUAUUUUUGAAGAUAAGCAAUUUGAAUAAUAUUUGGAUGAAGCUUGCAAAGCAAGAAAGCUGAAGUAGCUUCAGUUCGCGCCGCGAACCUUGCGAAUCCAGCAAGUUGUUUUGGCCAAGUGUGCUGUUUUCAAGGCCAGCUGUGUUUUGCCAUUUCUGUAUCUGUUUUAGGGGGCUUUUCAGCUUUAGAUGAAAAUGAGCAUUUUAGGAAAGGUCAACCCUUUUAGAAAACAGAAUGGAAAUUGUUCAUUCAUUGAUUGAUAGUUUGAUUUUUUGUAAGAGAAAAACAGAGUUCUUACCAUUGCCUUUUGCUUUCCCAAAUGAUGAUGAGGAGCUAAACCCCAUUUUGUAAAAAUUGGAGGUAGUAGCUAUUCCUAUUUGUUUAUGUAUUUCAUUUGACUCUUAUAUAUGAUAAAAUAUUGUUGAUGUAAUGAAUGAUAUUUUUGCUCUAAGUUGAAUAUGAGAUUUGAGUAGUUGUUGAAAGAGAUUAUUUAAGUCUUGAUAUAAAAUAUAUUUUCAAGUAGUGAAUAAGUUGUAGAAAUAUAUUUAUUCACUACUCUUCUUUUGUAUCAAUCAUUAAAGAUUGCUAUAUUGAUAUUUAGGUGGAGAAAUCGUCUAAAGAUUAAUAUAGUGAAUAUCACAAUAUCAUUUAGACAUAAAUGACAUUGAGAGGAUACUUGAACAUCAUCAAUAAUCUUGAAUCUAUAUAGUUGUCAUAAGGAAUCAUAAGCAAUUUGAAUAGUGAACUCCAAUCUUGCCAAGCCUUUUACAUUUGAUUAAAACUAUUUUAUUGUUUUAGAGACAUUUUAUUCAAAAGAUAACUUUUCAAACAAAACAACUUGGUUACUUUCUAAACUUAUAACAAUUUGGAUUAUAGAACGGCGGUAAUAACAACCAAUCUCUGUGGAUACAAUAUUAAAAUAUUUGCCGAAAAUAUACUUUUCAACAAAUUGGCGCCGUUGCCGGGGAUUGGUGUUCGAUAUUACAAGCAUUGCAAUAAUUCAUUGUUNNNNNNNNNNNNNNNNNNNNNNNNNNNNNNNNNNNNNNNNNNNNNNNNNNNNNNNNNNNNNNNNNNNNNNNNNNNNNNNNNNNNNNNNNNNNNNNNNNNNNNNNNNNNNNNNNNNNNNNNNNNNNNNNNNNNNNNNNNNNNNNNNNNNNNNNNNNNNNNNNNNNNNNNNNNNNNNNNNNNNNNNNNNNNNNNNNNNNNNNNNNNNNNNNNNNNNNNNNNNNNNNNNNNNNNNNNNNNNNNNNNNNNNNNNNNNNNNNNNNNNNNNNNNNNNNNNNNNNNNNNNNNNNNNNNNNNNNNNNNNNNNNNNNNNNNNNNNNNNNNNNNNNNNNNNNNNNNNNNNNNNNNNNNNNNNNNNNNNNNNNNNNNNNNNNNNNNNNNNNNNNNNNNNNNNNNNNNNNNNNNNNNNNNNNNNNNNNNNNNNNNNNNNNNNNNNNNNNNNNNNNNNNNNNNNNNNNNNNNNNNNNNNNNNNNNNNNNNNNNNNNNNNNNNNNNNNNNNNNNNNNNNNNNNNNNNNNNNNNNNNNNNNNNNNNNNNNNNNNNNNNNNNNNNNNNNNNNNNNNNNNNNNNNNNNNNNNNNNNNNNNNNNNNNNNNNNNNNNNNNNNNNNNNNNNNNNNNNNNNNNNNNNNNNNNNNNNNNNNNNNNNNNNNNNNNNNNNNNNNNNNNNNNNNNNNNNNNNNNNNNNNNNNNNNNNNNNNNNNNNNNNNNNNNNNNNNNAAAAGAUUGGGAAAUGUUGAGAUCAAAUCUACAAGGAUGACUUUACAACUAGCUGAUAAGUCUACCACUUCACCAUAUGGAGUUGCUCAAGACAUGUUAGUGAAGGUGGACAAAUUCUUGUUUCCGGUAGAUUUUGUGAUAGUAGACAUGGAUGAGGAUCGUGAUGCUCCUCUAAUUCUUGGAAGACCAUUCAUGAAAACGGCCCGAAUGAUGAUUGACAUUGAUGAUGGACUAAUGAAAGUAAGGGUGCAAGAUGAAGAGGUAGCCUUCAAUCUUUUUGAAGCCAAAAAGCAUCCUAAUGAUAAGCAUGAUUCUUUCUGAAUCGAUGCCACCAAGGAGGAACUAGUGGAGGUCCCAAACCAGGUUCAUGUUUCUAAUCCAUCAGAGAGAUCUCUUAUCGGAGUCUACAAAGUUUCGACCGAAAAUGAAGGAAAGAGAUUGAAGCAAUGUUGCAUGAAUUAGAGUCUUGUGGAGAGCUUGUUUAUCAUGAAGAGACAAACGAAGGCUUGGAUAUGACAAAGAAAGUGGAAGAGCCAAAACUAGAGCCACACUUGAAGUAUGUGUUCCUUGGUGAUGAUUGUACUAAACCGGUGAUCAUUAGCAAUACCUUGUCCACAAAAGAGGAGAAUCAAUUGAUACGAGUGCUGAAAAAGAAGGAAGUUAUUGAACUAUUGGAGGUCGGGAUGAUUUGUCCUAUCUUCGAUGGUGAAUGGGUGAGUCUGGUGCAAGUAGUUCCGAAAAAGAGUGGUAUCGGAUUUUAUCGAAGGUUCAUCAAGAACCUAUUAAAGACAACAAAGCCCUUGGAUAAGUUGCUCAGCAAAGCCGGAUCGUGAAGAGAAUCAUUGAACCGUCGAGCUCUAAACGACGUUAAACAAAGCGCUUGUUGGGAGGCAACCCAACGUUGUAAGUCUGCAUUUUAAAUUUUCUCAAUUCUGCUGUUAUGAUAUUUUGUUGUGUCUUUUAUUGUGAAACUUGGGUUCUGUCCACUGCAAAUUAAUUUUUUUCAGAAAUUCCUUCAGUUUGCCCCGCGAACUGAAUGGAAAGCUUCAGUUCGCGCCGCGAACAAAGUUCGCCCAGCGAACGGAGCGUGGCAGAACCACUUAAAUUCUGUUUAGGUUAUUUUUUGUCCACUCUUAUUUUUCACAAACAACAACUUGUCUUGAACACUCCCACUGCCCCACUUCCAAAACUCAAAUUUUGUCCUCUCCAUCUCCCAAAUCCCAAUUUAUUAACAAAGAAUCAAGUCAACUUCAAAAAGGUAUGUUGUUCUCUUCAUUUCCUCUCCAUUCCUUUUGGGUUCUCACUUAGGUAUGAAUAGGGUUUUGCUAAGAGUGGAAUGUGACACUUGAAAUAACCUUGCAUGUCUAAAGUGGAUUCAGAUUAGGAUUAGGAUAUGGAUUGUGAUUAUGAUUGUGGUGGUGCAAACCUUAGGAACCCUAGAAGGCUCCUGGAAUUUUCCUGGUUCGCAGGGUUCGUGCCGCGAACGGGGCUUUGCGCCGCGAACUGGGAAAUUCCAGUCUCAUGUUUUAUGCUUGUGAUUGCUAACUCCCUUUAUGGUUUGUUGUGUGGUUGUUCUGAUUUUUAUUGCAGAUGUCUAAGAGAAAAAAAACCAUGUCUUCCGGUCCUUCUCGUUCAUUGAGACGGUUCUUAAGUGAUGAACAUGAAGAAAGAUUUGAAAAAUUAAUCAAGAGAACCAUCCAACCAGAAAGGUUCAUCCGCUUAUCACCGGGUGGGACUUAUCGGAAUUUGGUAUCAUNCUUCAGUCGCGCCGCGACAAAGUUCGCCCAGCGAACGGAGCGUGGCAGAACACUUAAAUUCUGUUUAGGUUAUUUUUUGUCCACUCUUAUUUUUCACAAACAACAACUUGUCUUGAACUCCACUGCCCCACUCCAAACUCAAAUUUGUCCUCUCCAUGCUCCCAAAUCCCAAUUUAUUAACAAAGAAUCAAGUCAACUUCAAAAAGGUAUGUUGUUCUCUUCAUUUCCUCUCCAUUCUUUUGGUCUCACUUAGGUAUGAAUAGGGUUGCUAGAGUGGAAUGUGACACUUGAAAUAACCUUGCUGCUAAAGUGGAUUCAGAUUAGGAUUAGGAUAUGGAUUGUGAUUAUGAUUGUGUGGUGCAAACCUAGAACCCUAGAAGGCUCCUGGAAUUUUCCUGGUUCGCAGGGUUCGUGCGCCGAACGGGGCUUUGCGCCGCGAACUGGAAAUUCCAGUCUCAUGUUUUAUGCUUGUGAUUGCUAACUCCCUUUAGGUUUGUUGUGUGGUUGUUCUGAUUUUUAUUGCAGAUGUCUAAGAGAAAAAAAACCAUGUCUUCCGGUCCUUCUCGUUCAUUGAGACGGUUCUUAAGUGAUGAACAUGAAGAAAGAUUUGAAAAUUAAUCAAGAGAACCAUCCAACCAGAAAGGGUUCAUCCGCUUAUCACCGGGUGGACUUAUCGGAAUUUGUAUCAUAUUUGAGAGAAGAAGAUGGAGCAAACUUUGUGAACGCAGAGUCGGCAAUCAAUUACGACAUUGUGCGAGAGUUUUAUGCAAUGCUCUGCAUCUUGAAGAGGGAGUGGCUUUCAAUUACCAACAAGAGUAAGAGAGGCAAGAUUAUUUCUUUCGGCAGAGAUGCAAUUAACACAUAUCUUGGUAAUCCUCUCACCUUGGGAGAGAAUGAGCGGUGCGAGUAUCGUACCAAGGAAUUGGCCAACGUUUGGGAUCUUCCAGCAGUGAGCGCUACCUUAUACCUUGAAGGAAAGACAUUUGACUUAAAUGAUCAAGGACUCCCAAAGUCAUGGAAGAGAGAAAAUCUGAAUCUGGAAGCAAGGGCAUUUUUGGUGCUGUUGUUAAACAAUAUCCGGCCAAGGAGCCACAACACCACUAUCCCUUUGGAUGUAGGGUGUUUAUUGUAUUACAUCAUGAUAGGCAAAUCUGUUGAUGUAGCAUCCAUUAUUGCGGGCGAAAUACGCAAGAUGGCUAUAAGUGGAACAAAGUUUGGUGGUAAAGCAGGUGUUCUUGCAUACCCCGGGGCUGAUUAUGGGACUUUGCCGACGGGCACAUGUUCCCAUUCCGGAUGAAGUACAUUUCUCUAUCACUAGUGUUGUUAAUGAUGCUUAUCUGAACAGGUUUUACCCAAGCCAGAUGGAUAGAGCCGAAGGAGCUGGGACUUCGUCCUCUAGACCCCGAGCCCGCACUACUUCAGCUUUCGAUCAGAUGGCAUUUGUUAAUUAUUGCUGUGAGAGCUUUGAGGCCUAUAGGAGGUCUCAAUCAUUUAUCUUUGAUGCUAUGCAGCAACAAUUUCAGAACACUUUCCUUGCACCUGAAGCCCGCACAUUUCCUACCCAGGCGGAAUAUGUUGCUUAUGCUAAUUGGCCUGAGGGCAUGCCAACUUUUAUGGGGGGUGCAGGAGGUGGUGCAACCCAUGACGAUGAGAUGGAGGACGUCCUUGGAUCUGUUGGUGGUGGCCAAGAGGAGGAAGAUUGAGGAGUUUGUUGAAUUUUAGAGUUUGUUAGUGUCGGCAUUUCAAGGUACACUUUAUCGCUUUCUAGACUUAACAUGAGUAGUUUGAUGGUGUGUGCAAAUUCCAUAUCAUAAAUUCAUUGAAAUACAUGUCAUUUUUGAAUCAAAAUAGGACUUAAACAAUUGUGAGGAGGCUUUCCAUUGUACACUAAAAUGCAGGAAACCGAGCAUUAUUUCAACUCAUUCUUAUCAUGCUAAAUCAUGCAUCAAUCUAUUUUUGUGUGAAAAUUUUGAAAAUGAUAGAGGCAUUGUUUGUUGAGUAAAACCACUUGACCAAAAAGUUUUGAAUCAACGAACCUUGUGAGGAGUAAUCCUUAGUUAACCCCCUUUGAGCUUACUUUAGGAUUCAUUUGAUUGAUAAGUGUAAAACCAAUUAAAAUUUUUGUGAAUAAAUGAAUCCUAAUUUCUUUCGUGUCAAUUGAACCCUCAAACCGAGUUGUUUGCAAAUUUUACCUUUUGCUUAUGUCUAAGUAGGGAGCAUUAUUGAAUAAAUUUGGUUUUGGAAUUUAAAGUUGGGGAGAGUAAAGUAAAAAGAGUUGAUUAGAAACUUGGAGAAGUGAGUUUUUAUGAAAGGGUUAAAAUAUGAAAAGAAACAAGAAAAAGAAAUCACCCUUGAAACCAUAGAGCAAAGAAAAAGAAAAGAAAGAAAGAAAAACAAAGAAAAGGCUCAUGGUUGUGUGGAUGUGAAAAGAAAAAAGACGGGGAUCAAAGAAAUGGAAAUUAUGUAGAGUUGAAUGUUUGGGAAUGCUCCCUUAAGAUAGGCAAUUUUGUUUAAAUUCUCUUAAUCAUAUCCUUUCUUGUAACCCAGGCCACAUUACAACCCUUGAAAGACCUCUUGAUUCUCAUUUUUCACAUGAUUUGGUAUUUGUUUUGAUGACCGCAUGAUUUGAGUCGUUGUUGAUUUAAUUGCUUGGAUGAGUGAAAGUAAACCUUCAUGUUAUUCAUCAUUAUUAUGAUGUGUGUGUAAGUUUGAUUCAAUUUUGACAUAUAUGGCUUUGAAUUCCUUGGUAUGAUUUUUGCAAACCUUCAUGUUAUUCAUCAUUAUUAUGAUGUGUGUGUAAGUUUGAUUCAAUUUUGACAUAUAUGGCUUUGAAUUCCUUGGUAUGAUUUUUGCACCCAACCAUUGCUCUUAUUCAUGUUUUGUCUAGAAUUGAGAUAGGUGGAUUGAGAAAGUGCCUAACACUUUUGAACCAUUUGAAUAUCCUUGGUUAAUCCUUAUUUCAAUCUUUUGUGUCAUUGCUUUGGUUGUGUUGGUGGAGACUUUUGUUUAGGGACAAACAACAUGCUAAGUUGGGGAGAGUUGUUAGGGACCAAUUAGUACUACUUUUUAUAUAUUUUUAUUGGUCCCUUUUACCAAUUUUUGAUAUAAUUACACACUUUUAUUCUCACUAUUUUGUAUAAAUGCAAUUAGGUUUAAUUUAUGUUGUUUUGAGUAGUUAUUUCACAUAUUUGUUAGUUUUGUAGAAUUUUUGGACAAUAGAGCUUCAGAAUGCAUAAUCAUAAUUUGGAAGAAGUGUUGAAUGCAAUUUGGAGGCCUAAUUUUGAAGAUAAACAAUUUGAAGAAUAUUUGGAUGAAGCUUGCAGAGAAAGGAAGCUGAAGUAGCUUCAGUUCGCGCCGCGAUCUCCCUUCGCGUCGUGAACCUUGCGAAUCCAGCAAGCUGUUUUGGCCAAGUGUGCUGUUUUCAAGGCCAACUGUGUUUUGUCAUUUUUGUAUCUGUUUUAGGGGGAUUUUCAGCUUUAGAUGAAAAUGAGUAUUUUAGGAAAUGUCAACCCUUUUAGAAAAUCAGAAUGGAAAUUGUUCAAAUAGAAUUCACACAUUCAUUCAUAGUGGGAUAUUUUUUGGAAGAGAGAAAAAUAGAGUUUUCUUCCAUUGCCUUUUGCGUUCCAACAUGAUGAUGAGGAGCUAAACCCCAUUUUGUCAAGAUUGAAGGUAGUAGCUAUUCCUAUUUGUUUAUGUAUUUCAUUUGACUCUUAUAUAUGAUAAAAUAUUGUUGAUGUAUUGAAUGAUAUUUUUGCCCUAAGUUGAAUAUGAGAUUUGAGUAGUUGUUGAAAGAGAUUAUUUAAGUCUUGAUCUAAAAUAUAUUUUCAAGUAGUGAAUAAGUUGUAGAAAUAGAUUUAUUCACUACUCUUCUUUUGUAUCAAUCAUUAAAGAUUGCUAUAUUGAUAUUUAGGUGGAGAAAUCGUCUAAAGAUUAAUAUAGUGAAUAUCACAAUAUCAUUUAGACAUAAAGACAUUGAGAGGAUCACUGAACAUCAUCAAUAAUCUUGAAUCUAUAUAGUUGUCAUAAGGAAUCAUAAGGCAAUUUGAAUAGUGAAUCCAAGCUUGCCAAGCCUUUUACAUUUGAUUAAAACUAUUUUAUUGUUUUAGAGACAUUUUAUUCAAAAGAUAACUUUUCAAACAAAACAACUUGGUUACUUUCUAAACUUAUAACAAUUUGGAUUAUAGAACGACGGUAAUAACAACCAAUCUCUGUGGAUACGAUAUUAAAAUAUUUGCCGAAAAUAUACUUUUCAACAGGGUGGUAAUCUUGAAAGAAAGGGCAAGUGCAUAAUAAGAGAUCUAAAAGUAAUACAAAAAGAAAGACAUGUGUAUGUCCAAAAAGAAAAAGAAAAGAAGAGAAAAAUGCACUUGCCAAGACUGAAGACUCUAACACCUGUAAAAUGCUCAUAGAGAAUUGAGUAAAAAGAGUCAAAAGUGAAUAAACCCCCAGAGCUAUGAGUUAAGCACGAAAAGAAAAAGAGAAAAUCAAACAACAUGAUUGCCGAGUUCAAAACCAUUUGUUAUCCAUUUCUGUGUUUAUCCUACCGUACCCAAGCCCUGUUACAACCGAAAAGACCUCAUAAAGUGUGUGGAAUCUGUUGUUGCAGUGAAAUUAGAAUGUAUUCAAAUUUAAGAGUUUGGUAUUGCAUGUUGUACUGUGAGUGUAAACACCCUAACCAUGAGAGAUGUUGUGAGUAUGUGAAAAAGUUUGCAGGUAACGAGGCUUCUGAUGUGAAAAUAUGGUGAACAGUCUGAGUCGGGAAAACCGGAAACUUGAUUGGAAAGGAAGAACACAAGUUGUGAAGGACAAGGUUGCAUUGGGGAAAAUGAAUUCGUGGGUGACCUUUGUUUGGACUCAAUACAUCACUUGAGGACAAGCAACUAGACAAGUUUGGGGUUAUGAUCGGUCACCAUUUCCAUUGAAUUCCCACCUUUGAUCCGACAUAUUUUCAUCACUUUGGUAAGAUUUGUGGUUGUUUUUAGCUGUUUUAUAGUCAUUUAACAUGUUUUGUUAGUUUAUUAUCGCAUUACAUUUUGUUACAUGUUUGUGUCAAAAAGUCUCUUUUAUGCUUUGAUUUGGUAGUGUUAUUGUUACAGGUUGUUGCAGAGGUUCAAAAGGACUAAUAGCUGAUUGUUGGAUGCUCAGAAAGGCAAAAAUAUGAAGAUACAGCAAGUCAACACGGGCCCCCGUGUGCAACAACACGGCCCGUGUUGUUUGCCAGGAAAAGAGAGCUCAAAAAGGUAAAACAGAGGGUUAACACGGGCACCCGUGUGAAUCCACACGGCCCGUGUUGAUGCCUUUGUAGCUUGUUCUAAAAAUUACACCUUUUUGAAGAUCAACACGGGCACCCGUGUGAAUCAACACGGCCCGUGUUGAUGGGCGCGGCUGGGAAAUUCUACUUCAUCUUGUGUGGAUCUGCCCUGAUCAUUAAGGGUAUUUUGAACUUUUUGCUGGGAGAAAAUCCAUCUGAGGCUAUUAUAAGACCUGGGAGAGAAAGAGAAGGACACUUUUUGACGUACGAAAAGAAACAUUGCACCGGAGAAGAUAGCUGUUGAAAAGUAUAUCUUCGGCAAAUAUUUUUAUAUCGUAUCCACAGAGAUGGGUUGUUAUUACCGCCGUUCUAUAAUCCAAAUUGUUAUAAGUUUAGAAAGUAACCAAGUUGUUUUGUUUGGAAAAUUAUCUUUUGAGUAAAAUGUCACUAAAACAAUAAAAUGGUUUUAAUCAAAUGUAAAAGCUUGGCAAGAUUGGAGUUCACUAUUCCAAGUGCUUAUGAUUCCUUAUGAUAACUAUAUAGAUUUAAGAUUAUUGAUGAUGUUCAAGUAUCUUCUCAAUAUCAUUUAUGUCUAAAUGAUAUUGUGAUAAUCACUAUAUUGAUCCUUAGACGAUCUCUCCACCUAACUAUCAAUAUAGCAAUCUUUAAUGGUUGAUACAAAAGAAGAGUAAUGAAUAAAUCUAUCUCUACAACUUAUUCACUACUUGAAAAUCUGUUUUAUGUCAAGACUCAAAUAAUCUCUNUCAACAACUACUCAAAUCUGAUAUUCAACUUAGGGCAAAAAUAUCAUUCAUUACAUCAACAAUCUUUUAUCAUAUAUAAGAGUCAAAUGAAAUACAUACACAAAUAGGAAUAGCUACUACCUCCAAUCUUGACAAAAUGGGGUUUAGCUCCUCAUCAUCAUGUUGGAACCCAAAAGGCAAUGGAAGAAAACUCUGUUUUUCUCUCUUCCAAAAAAUAUCCCACUAUGAAUAAAUGUGUGAAUUCUAUUUGAACAAUUUCCAUUCUGAUUUUCUAAAAGGAUUGACAUUUCCUAAAAUGAUCAUUUUCAUCUAAAGCUGAAAAGCCCCCCUAAGACAGACACCAAAAUGGCAAAACACAGCUGGCCUUGAAAACAACACACUUGGCCAAAACAGCUUGUUGGAUUCGCAAGCUUCGCGGCGCGAAGGGAGUUCGCAGCGCGAACUGAAGCUUCUUCAGAUUCCUUGCCUUGCAAGCUUCAUCCAAAUAGUCUUCCAAGUGAUAUUCUUCAAAAUUAGGCCUCCAAAUUGCAUUCAACACUUCUUCCAAAUUAUGAUUAUGCAUUCCAAAGCUUUCUUGUCAAAAAUUCUACAAAACUAACAAUAUGUGAAAUAACUAUCCGAAACAACAUAAUUAAAACUAAUUGCAUUUAUACAAAAUAGUGAGAAUAAAAGUGUGUAAUUACAUCAAAACUUGGUAAAAGGGACCAAUAAAUGAUAUAAAAAGUAGUACUAAUUGGUCCCUAACAAUAGCUCUACGGAGGAUUUGAAGACGGCGAGAUUCAAGGCAUCAACCUUGAAGAUCAAAAUCUCCUAAUUCUUGUAAUGUUAAUUUCAUACUUGAUUUCUUGUGAAUACUAUGAAGAGCUAAACCCAAUGCUAGGGGUGGUCCUGAUUGAUCUGAUGUAUGAAUUCUAACUAUGGAUUUCCUUAUUAAUAUGUUACGAAUUUCAAUUCAAUUGUGUGAUGUGCUUAUGCUUUUAAUGGACAAUACAAUUAGAUCUAUGACUAUCAAUACAGGAUUGUGAUUGUUAGCAUUUUCACACAAUUGGGUUUAUAUGAUACACUAGGACUAGGAACUUUUGUAAUACCAUAAACCCUUGAUAUUGUUUAUGAUUAAAACCAAUGAUUAAUUGAAUGGACAUUUGAGUAAGAUUGGUAGUUUAAUAGUUUUCCUUAAGGACUUAAGGAAGAACAUUCUGAGGUUAGGUGAUUGAAUGUUCAUGUGUAUUAAGGAAAUCUUGAUGAAUUCAUAACGAGUUAAUAACCACUCACCUAGCAUGUUUUCUUAAUCAAUUAUUUUUCCUAUUUUUUGUGUUUAUUGUUAUAAAUUCCCAAAACCAACCAAACCAUUAUCUUUUUGUUCAAAUAGAAUCAGAAGUGAAAUAAGUAUUUCCUACGCAAUCCCUGAGAUCGAUACUUGGAAAUAAAAUUCCUUAUUACUACAUCGGUAAAAAUAGUACACUUGCUAUUUUUCCGAUCAAUGACUGACUCAUUAACCCAUAAUAUUCUCAAGAGAAACUUGCCUUGUGUGUGAUCCCUUAUUUGUGAGGUUUUAUUUGCAAAUAUUUUCAGACCAUGGAUUAUGGACGAAGGAACACUAAGAAGUACAGUUUCAGAUGUCCCGACUUGAAAGAGCUAAGGAAGUUAUCAUCUUUUGUAUUAGAUCCUUUGGACUCCAAGCAACGGCAUGGGAAGCUUCUAUAUGUAUUGUCUACUGAUGUGGUUGAAGGACUCCUGAGUGUGUUGGUUCAGUUUUAUGAUCCUCUCUACCGUUGCUUCACUUUCCCCAAUUAUCAGCUCGUGCCUACAUUAGAGGAGUAUGCCCAUCUAUUGGGAAUACCCGUUUCUGACAAGGUUCCUUUUAGUGGAUUGGAGGAGAUUCCCAUAUCUCAUCUUAUAGCUGAAGCUCUUCAUCUGAAGAAGUCUGAGAUUAAGGCUCAUUGGGUGAAGAAAGAAGGAAUGUUUGGGUUGACUUCUGAGUUCCUUAUUGGGAAAUCAACUGCCUUUGCUCAAGCCGGUAGUGUGGAUGCUUUUGAAUCCAUCUUUCUGUUGCUCAUCUAUGGUUUGGCUUUGUUCCCUAACAUUGACGGUUUGUUGAUGUUAACGCCAUUAGAACCUUCUUGAUUGGGAAUCCUGUGCCUACUCUGUUAGGUGAUAUGCACUUCUCUUUGCAUUUGAGGAAUUCUAAAGGUGGUGGAACUAUUGUGUAUUGUGUUCCUCUUCUGUACAAGUGGUUUAUUUCACACUUGCCUCAGACGCCUGCUUUUGUGGAGAACAAACAAUGUCUACGGUGGUCUUAGAGACUUAUGUCUCUCACUAAUAAUGAUAUAGUUUGGUAUGACUCUGCCUUGAAUGGCUUGGAUAUUAUUGAUAGUUGUGGUGAAUUCUCUUAUGUGCCUCUCAUUGGUACACAAGGAGGUAUUAACUACAACCCUGCUUUGCCUCGUCGUCAACUUGGGUUUCCCUUUAGAGACAAACCUAAUAACACUCAGUUAGAAGGUCUUUUCUAUCAAUAGGGGAAAGAUCCCCAACAUUUGAAGCAAAAGAUGAUACAUGCUUGGUAUAACGUGCAUAGGAAAGGAAGAUCCGAGUUUGGUCCACGCGACUGUGUAGCUUUUGAGGCUUACACUACUUGGGUGAAGAAGAGAGCUUUGGAGUUGAAGAAGUCGUAUGCUUGUGAGAGACCUAUGUUUAUGGUUGUGGUUGAUCCAUUAACUCUUCCUAACCAAGAUGUAGAGGAGUUGGAAGACGCACUUGCCAAGAUGAAACAAGAGAAGGAUGUGUGGGAAGCGUGGUUCCAUGCUUUGAGCUGAAAGCAUGAGGAAUUGCAGCUUGAGUCUAAGGAAAAAGAUACGCUUAUUGAACUUCUUGAAGACCGAGUAGUGAAGAGACAGAGAGAGCCAAAUGGCCCAUCUUCCUCUAGUAUGCAUCAGCCUUCCGGUGCUUGGAAAAAGAUUAUUGACCAGCUUGUCCUUGAGAAGGCUCAGAUGAAGACUUCUUUUGAGUCUGAGAUUCUACGCAUCCGAAGGAAGUACGGGCCAACAGCUAGAUCAUCUGACACUAUUAUUAAGGGAUCCUUAGGAUGAUUAGUUUCCUUUUCCCUUGUAUUUGUAUUCUGGUUUCUGAAAUUGUACUCAGUGUAAUCCUUCCAAAAUUUAUAUGAGUAAAAGAGAUUUGUUUUAUGGUCAAAUCAAAUUGUUACUAUUAUUUAAUAUUUGCAAAUAUAACUUUGUAUGUUCCUUGAAAUUGAAAAUAAGCAAACAAAAACAUUGCAUUUCAUGCAUCAUUUGCAUAAAUAGGUUUUCUUCCGCCAGAUGUCUUAUCGGUUAUUCUUCUGUGCUUCAGCCAAGCUGACUCAUCGAUACAACACUCGCGCCAAUCAACCGAGAAUCAUGGAGCAUUUUGGAGCAAGAGAACCGAGAACUGAAGGACGAGAUUGCUCGUCUAACUGCUAUGAUGGAGUCUGUUCUAGCUGCUCAGAAUCAGUCUUCUCCAACUCCUGCAACUCCUCUUCCUCAGAGGACUGUCAUCUCAGAGGUUGCUACUUCAACCAUGCUCAUUGCUGCUACUCAAUCUAGUCAGAAUAUGCCUGCCGGAUUCCCGUGGGGAAUGCCACCGAAUUUCAUGCCUGAAGGGUUUUCACCCACAUUCGCUUUUAUGUCGGCAUCUAGCCCGGUCAUGUCCGUUCCGCCUCUAGUAGUUCACACUCUGCCUCGUGUUAAGGACUUCAUCUAUCAUUCUGAGCCGUCUGAAGGCCCCGAUGUUUAUGAGAAGAUGGACGAGAUGAAGGAUCAGUUCCUUGAGCUGCGAAAGGAAUUGAAGACAUUGAGAGGAAAUGACUGGUUCGGUAAGAGUGUUGCUGAACUUUGCUUAGUGCCAAAUGUCAAGAUCCUAAUGAAGUUUAAAGUCCCUGACUUUGAAAAGUAUAAGGGAAAUAUUUACCCACUUAGCCAUCUUGUCAUGUAUGCCAGAAAAAUGUCAAUGCAAAUUGAUAAUGAUAAGUUAUUAAUUCACUACUUCCAAGACAGUCUGGCUGAUGCCACUUUGAGGUGGUACAUAGGGCUAGAUAGUGCAAGUGUUUGCACAUUUAAUGAUUUGGGUGAAGCUUUUGUGAAGCAGUAUAAGUAUAAUGUGGACAUGGAGCCUGAUAGAGACCAGCUAAGGUCUAUGUCUUAGAAGGACAAAGAGAUAUUCAAAGAGUACGCUCAGAGGUGGAGAGAGCUUGUUGCUCAGAUCAAUCCUCGGUUGGAAGAGAAAGAGAUGACCAAGAUUUUCCUUAAGUCCCUGAGUUCGUUUUAUUACGAACGCGUGAUUGUCAGUGCCCCCAGUGACUUUACCGAAAUGGUAAACAUGGGGAUGAGGUUAGAGGGAGAAGUCCGAGGGGGACGUCUGUCUAAAGAAGAGGUGUCAUCGAGCAAGAAGUAUGGAAGCAGUUUUUCCAGAAAUAAGGAAGGUGAAACUAAUGCAGUGUCAGUAGGGAGGCAGAGGAGGCCUCAUGUCAAAAGAAAUCCACAACUACGUCAGCAUCAUCACUAGAUUUCAUCAAUUAUUCCAGUAUUUUCUAACAACCAAUCAAUGUCAGUUCAACAACAACGUCAACAACAGCCGCAACAAAGAACCAACAACUACAAUAACAACACCAAUAAUCAACAGCAACAACAGAAUUUCGAGAGGAAGAAGGUCUCUUUCGACCCUAUUCCUAUGUCAUAUGCCGAACUGUAUCCAUCUUUGGUUCUCAAGAACCUACUCCAACCAAGGAAUCCCCCGCAAAUUCCAGAACCACUUCCAUGGUGGUAUAAGCCAGAACUCUGUUACACCUUUCAUCAAGGAGCUCCCGGUCAUGAUAUCGAAAAUUGUUACCCAUUGGAGUAUGAGGUUCAGAAGCUAGUGAAAAGUGGGAUGGUGUCCUUCGAGGACCGUGCGUCGAAUGUAAAAGCUAACAUGUUGUCCGCUCAUGGUAAUUCCUCUAUUAAUAUGGUAGAUGAUUGUCCAAGAAGUUUCCGAGUGUUCGAUGUACGACGUAUUCGUCGGUCCUUGGUAGAGAUGCAUAAGAUCCUGUGUACCAUUAGUGAUUGCGAGCAUGACCAUGAUGGUUGUGCAAUUUGCAGUGUAAACCCCCGUGAUUGUUUGAUCGUCAAGAGAGAUAUCCAGAACUUGAUGGAUGAGAAUGUAAUCCAGAUUCAACAAUCAAGGAAUAUAGAUGAUGUGAAUGUUAUAGUACCAGUAUUUAAGACCCCUGAGCGGGUAGUGAUUCAAUUUGACAGUAGCAGCAGUAACAGCGUGAAUAGAUCGGUAUCGCCGUUAGUGAUACGGUUAACGGGCCCCGUCCCGUAUGCUUCUGAUAGAGUUGUUCCUUACCAGUAUAAUGCUACCAUGAUAGAGAAUGGUCAAGAGGUUUCGUUGCCUACAACCAAUUCUGUUGUAAACAUUGUCGAUAUUGCAAAGGUGACCCGUAGCAGUCAUGUGUUUGGUCCAGUCUUUCCAAAGGAUGUAGAAGAGGUUGUAGUCAGUAAGAAGGUUGAGGUACCUGCAGUGAACCCAGUUAGCCCUCCAAUGUGUCAGUCUGGUGAAUCCAGCAAAUUGAAGCCUAAUGAUGAUGAUGAAGUACUCAGAUUAAUCAAGAAAAAUGAAACUUAAGACAAGAUGCGUCCGAAGAUGCAUCUCCAAAAUCUAAAAGAUAUCUUGAAUUUUCUAUAGGAUAUUUUUCCACUCUUGUACAAAAUGAAACAUGAUAUUUUCUUAUAAAUUGCAAACUGUUUUAAUUAGCUAUGCCAAAAAGUUCAUUAAAAUAAGCUAUAUGUCCCACAUUAUAAAUUGCAAACUGUUUUAAUUAGCUAUGCCAAAAAGUUCAUUAAAAUAAGCUAUAUGUCCCACAAAAGUUACAACGGUAUCUUAUGAGAUAUAACUUUAAAAAUUGUAAACAAGCUCUCCAAAACAUACUUAAAAACAUUGAAGAAAAUCAACAUUAUAACACUACUUACAAUAACUAGUUAUAUAGUAAUAUACAAUCAGGGACUACAACUUAAUUAACAUAGAUAAAAAUGUACUGUAAAGUGCAGGGAAUGACAUAACUGAACCUGAACAUAACUUACAUUCUAAAUUUAUUACAUUAAAAAUAAAAGUGACACAAAAAACAGUAGGCAAGGGAAUGUGAUGAGGUUUGAGACUUAUAGGAGAUGCUAUUUGAGUCUAUUCACCUCAAAUUCCGCGUUGAUUUCUUCUUCUUUUGCUGUUUUGACAAAAGAAGUGAGAAUCUUGCAAACCCGAAUUUCUUUCUCUUAGCAGAAAACUGCUUCUGAUCGUUUUCUGUUUCUUUUUUGACUUGCUCAUCAAACAAUGCACUGUCAACAUCAUUGUGUUUGCCAAGCAUCUGACCUAAUGACACCUUCCGUUUCGCCGAGGCUUUUUCGCCGUGCAUCUUCCCCUCUUCAAACUCUUCUGGUCUAAACAGCUUCCUGCUUAGUAUCUGUCCUAUUGAUAGAGUCGGCUUUAAAACAGGCUUGACUUCAUCCUUUACCAAAUUCAAUCCGUUUACAUCUAGUAAUGUAAAAUCUCUCCUUUGAUCUGAUGGACCAGGGUUCUUGAACUUGGUAGAGUUGUUAUUCAUCGAAGAACGCCUUUUGUGAUUGUCUGAUCGCCACUUCCUUAAAGCCUCUUCAACUUCUAGCUUCCCUAUAUCUGCAGCCAUUACUCUUUCAAGAGCUUCUUCAAGGGCCUUCUUUCCGGUUAUAGCUUCUUUUGUUGCCUCGUGUACCCUUUUCAAAAUAUCCAUACGCGAUGAAUAUGCUUCAUCAACUUCAAGCAUAGCAUUUGCUACUCUCUUCUUAGACUGUUCUUCUGCGUCUCGAGCUUUUCGGGUCAGAGUAACAUACUCAUCAAUUGAAAGCGUAAUUUCCUUGCGCUUUGGCGUACACUCUCUUGGUGAACCCCUGUGGUUAGAGUUAGACAAUGCGUUAACUUCGACAAGGGUAGCAGCUUCUGCAGCUCUUGAAGCUUUCUUCAUUUUCUUUGCCGCAACCAACCUGAUUUCUGCAGUUCUUAUCAUAGCUUUUGUCACCUCAAUCUCAGACAUUGUUUUCAAAACUUCUGAAUUUGCAGAAUCUCUCCUUUUUCUGAAAUGCUCGGCCUUGGAUCGUAAUUUUUGGAGCUCUAUUGUAACAUCUAAAGGAUUAUCAGAAGCAUCACCUUUUGCAACUUGCAAUCUUAAUCUGGUUUGGUUUAGCUCACUUUCAAGAGAAGAUAUCUUCGAACAAUUCUGAGUUAACCUCUCACGGGUUUUCUCAAGUGAGAUCCUUUCUUUCUCUAAUUUCUUAUUUAGAGAUUCCACAGCAGCUCGUACAUCGGCAAAAUCAUGAGUGCUUUUGGUUAGAUUCAACUUAGCCUGCUUCAAUUCCAUUAGUAUUAAGCCCGGAGAAGAUACAUUAGAAGGCAUCGAACAUUCCUUUGUAGGACAAACAACCUCAGACGGACUCGAUUGAUUUUCCUUUACAUCUGAUUUUUUAUCACACUCGCUAAUCUUAUGAUUCAAUUUUGCUUCAGAUUCUUCCUUCUGCAGCUUCGAUUUCAAAUCUUCAACAAGCCUUCUCGUCUUAUCCAAUUCUUUCAAUACAUCAAGAGUUUCCCUUUCUUUCAGGCUAAGUUCUUUCUCCAACACUCUCGCCUGCUCCUCCAGUUUCUCCGUAUCAAGCCCUUCUAUGCAGUGCUGCUAACAAAAGAGAGGACGAGAACUUACUAUACAGCUCCAUGACAAUAUUUUCAUAAAAGUUAAUUCACAUGACAAUGUAGCUUUAAGAUGGAAAAUGAUAAGACUAGUUAUAUUCCUAAGCUAGUAAGAAAAAUGUACUAUGAAGCCCAAACACUCAAAAGUUGAUAAAGUAUUGGUGUCGAAUCCGUAUCUGGUACUGAUACCAUAUACGCGCCAAGAAGCACGGACACCAGAAACAUGAUAUCGACAACACGUCGACACCAGGAAUCAUUACAAACUAAAUGUAAUCACAAGUGUAGAUGUCGGUUUCGGAGAUCGACAUUUACACAUACACACUUUUUUCAGAGACAUGGAUGCUACUUAGAUACGCGUAUGAUACUUUCAAAUACAUAUCACAAUGUAUCCUUCAAAAUGUACUAUGACGAUUUGUUUUCAUAUAAAAUUGCAUUUCAUAACUUAUUCUCCAUAUACAUCUAAAUCUAUAACUUAAUUGCAUUUCAUAAGAUUCAAGAAACCCUAGCACUAAAAAUUAAAAAAAAUUAUCAUAAUUCAUAAGCUAAAAUGGACAAAUAAAAUUAUCAUACAAACACAUAAAUGGUAUUAAUUAACUGGGUCAAUUAAUUGCAAAUAUUAACCACAUUAUUAAUCACAAAAACAAUGUACAUGGAAACAAAAUACCUUAGAAGGAUGAGAAGUGUGAAAGGGUUUCCAGUAACCAACACCUCCGAAGCGAUGAACAGCAUCCUUAACCGACUCAAACGGAACUGAAGUGUCAAUCUCCGUUUGGAAACCAGCAUUCUUUGAUGAACCCGGUUUAUCUUGAUACGUCGUCGUUUUGAUGAACUUGGUUUCCAUGUUCGUUACUGGCACUGUUGAAAAAUGAGAGAAAGGUGAAAACAGGAGCAAAAGGAAAACGACAAGGAUUGUUGUGUUGGAAGUGUGGUGUUGUGUCGUGUUCGAGUGUUUGGGGACAGAGUACAGAGUGAGAGGGAAGGAAAAAAAGGAGAUUUAUAUGGUGGGAGGUUCAAAUUAACGUUUCAAAAUUUAUUUUCCUAAAAUGCCCAUGGUAAUAACAUAUUGUUUCUUACUAUGUGCUAUCUAAGAAAACUAUCUUUGACUAAUAAUAAAAUAAAAUGAGUUUAUAUAGAAAAUUAUUGUUAUAAAAUUUCAAAUUAAUAUAGUCAAAUUACCUAAAUUCAAUAGUAGAUAUGGUGGAAAUUUAUAUAUUUAGUCUCAUAUUGAUUCAAAUAAAAUAUAAUAAUUUUAAAUAAAAUUAUUAAAAUAUAAUAUAAUAAUUCAUAAUAAUAGUAUUACCUAAUAAGGUAUUUUUAUAAAUGAAUGUUUAGACCAGAGAGAUGUUGACCAAUUCAAGUUAGAGAAUAUUUUAUAAUUCAAAAAUUGUUCUAUGAAGUUUUAUAAUUUAUGAUUCAAAAAUUAUUCUCAAAUAUAUUUUUGUUUAUCUUUCUCUAAUGAGUUUAAUUUUUAAAGGCUUAUUUGGUAAGUAAAAGUUUUUAUUAUAAAGGACUCAUAUAUUGUAAAUAAAAAAAUAGUAUAAAAAAGAAUCGAGGAUUAUAUCAAAAUUCACUCGAAAGGAUACACAUUUUUGAAAAGACAAUUUAAGUUUAAUUAUUUUUUUUACAAAAUUUAAAGGGAUUAAUGUUGAAACAAAUAGGAUUUUCAAGAAAAAUGAAGAAGAGGAGAAGAAAAUAAGAGAGAGAGAGAGAAACUAUAUCUGAAAAAACCGUGGUAAUUCCUGGUAUGUAUGUUUUUAUGGCCCAUAAAAACUGUGACAAUUCUUUGUAUGAAUCCUCACAGUUGUCGAAUACCUGUUCAACAGCCUUUGUCCUCGCAAUUCACGCUUUCUUGUAAGAUGGAGUAUAAUUAUAUCUUGUGAAGAUAUGAGUUAUUAUUAUACUCACCUUCACUGAUGGGUUUUUGUUAACAAGCGGCAAAAUGUCUUGACAUAUCAAUGCAGUGCUUAAUUUACGGUGAUCUUGUUCAACAUUAGUUGCAAUGCAACUGUGAGGUGGGUCUAUAGAAGCUAUCUCCCAAGAGUCGCUUCUCUUUUUGUGAGACGCAGCCAACCGAAACUUGCAAAGGAUGACUGUGAGGUGGGUCUAUAGAAGCUAUCUCCCAAGAGUCGCUUCUCUUUUUGUGAGACGCAGCCAACCGAAACUUGCAAAGGAUGUUACGACAUUCGAUGACAUACCUUCUUGAAUCAGUGCGUUUCACAGUGAAAUCAGCAGAUUUAUUCAUGUGAAAUUUUUUGAUAGCUCGCACACAUUCUUCUGUAGUGCGAAACAUGUCUUUCACUUUUAACUCACCCUCUGAUCGUGGAUACGGGUUAUAAAAAACAUUGUUGGAUGUUUCAUUGUCAUGCAGAUCCAUGUUUGUUAUAUGUUAAGGCGGAUUAUAUACAUGACUUGGAGGUAAUGGCGCCGAAUUAUAUACGUGACUAACAAACAUAUAUUCAACAUCUUCAUCGUCUCGUACCUUCAGCGGGAAAAUUUGCAUUGAUUGUUCUAAAAAAAUUGGAUUUUGAUACGUGAUAUGUGACACAAGACCAGAUCCUAUGCAGGAUUCAAUUCAUUUUUUCAAAUGCAAGAAAUUUGAAUUUCUCUUGAUCGUAAGUCGAAUAGUAUCGGUGUUUCAAAAACAAAACUCGUAUCAGACUCAUAUGUCUCAUCAUUGCAGUGAGCAUUGAUAUUAUAUUUUGGUGCAGAUGACAUUGUAAUAUUUCUUGUGCAGAUGAAAAGUAAUUUUUUAGUGCAGAUGAAUUUGUGUUGAUUGUUGGAUGUAGAUACUAAGACAUUUAAAUAGGUAAGUUAUGUAUCAAACAUGCAAAGUUAGAGGUAAGUGAUGUGUCAAGCAUGCAAGCAAGAGGUAAGUAAUAUAUCAAACAUGCAAGCUAGAGGGAAGUCAUGUGUCAAACAUGCAAGCCCUAGCGCCAGUCCAAUUGGCGCUAGCUUGUAUUCCUUGUACAUGGGUGUCAGUUCAAUUGGCGCUACCUUGUCUUCCAUGCAGACCUUGUAACUAAGUAUGUAGAGCCAUGCAUGCGCCAGGCUAGGUUAAGCUAAAGCAUGUAUGAAAGCCUAGGAGGCGCCACUUUAAUUGGCGCUAGCAUGUGACAAUUGCACAUGGGCACCAAACCAUUUGGCAUGAGCAUGCAAUCACCAUUAUCCAUGCAUUCAUACUUUUGCAUGUCACACCUUAUAAAUAGUCAAGCAAGUCUCACAUUUGUUCCUCACCAACAAUCACUUCUUCCUCAACAACAAUAACUUUUUCAUCUGCAACAACCAUUGUUUCAAAUAUUUACUCCGACAAGAUGUCUCUCCUCAUAAUGGGUGAAUCGCAUAGAGGCACAGUUGCAAACAUAGCAACUUAUGUAAGUGUUUAAUUCUUUUAUUAUUUGUCUAGAAUAAUUUUUAAUAACGAUACUUAAUUUGUUGUUUAUCUUUUAUAAAGUAACGUAUUUUUUUGUUUCUUUUAUAGGGUGUUUCUAGGUUUCGAACUCGGGUCCACGAAUUUGUACACAUGGACCCGAUGAUUCAACUGUAUGUCGAACUCGCCAGUUUUUGACAUAUAAGCAAAAUAAUGUCUUGGUCGGUGGAUAAUAAAUUUAUUCUUGCGUUAUGUGAAAGAUGGCGUCCCGAGACACACACAUUUUGGUUUCCAACCGGUGAAUAUACCGUGACAUUAGAAGACGUCUACAUGUUAUUGGGACUGCCUAUCGAAGGUAAGGCGGUAAAUGGCAAAACCAACUAUGCGAAUUCAAUUUGCAUGGACCUCUUGGAUACUUAUUUGUUAGAUGAUAACUCGAGAGGUCAAGGUAUACUCCUUUCACGCCUUAAGGCAUAUUAUAACAGUUUACAGUUAGAUGAGAAUUCUACCGAAGAGGCUCGAAUAAUAAAAACUAGGUGUUACAUUAUGCUUUUAAUUGGUUCAUUUUUAUUUCUCGAAGGUAGUGGUUCUAGUAUGCAUGUUAUGUAUUUACCUUUACUAAGACAUGUAGAUAGAAUAGGAAGUUACAGUUAUGGAUCCACUUGUUUGGCUUAUCUUUAUAGCUCUUUGUGUAAAAAUGCGCACAAAGACACAUCUACAUUUUCUGAAUGUGCAGUUUUGCUCCAAGCAUGGGGUUGGUCCAGACUACCGUCCCUAGCGCCCGUCAACAACAACCCAUUCACAUUCCCGUAUGCACAAAAGUAAGUUCUUAAAAAUGGACUAUAUUUACUUACUUUACCGAUUAUUAUCUGUAAAUAAUAUUUUUACUUUUAUGGUGCAGAUGGUCGGCACAUAGUAUGAGUUAUAACAGAUGUCUUAGACACUGUAUUACCCAAUAUCGCAAUCUCUUGGAUCACCUUCGACCGAUAGAUGUAUGGUCAUUAACCUAAUUAUUUCGUAAUAAUUUAUUAAUUUCUUCUACCAAACUUAUAAUCUAAUACAUGUUCACAUUUCAGUUCAUUUGACGUCCAUAUCUAAAUUUGGAUCAUGACCAUGAAAUCAACGAACAAGAUGCGGCCGUUUGGACUGCAUGCGCAUCGGUCAUAAGGUUCACCAUUGUGGAGAUGCACAAUAGUAAUCGUGUUAAAUUACAGUUCGGUAUGCUUCAACACAUCCCAUAUCCCCCGGAAAACCUAGGAGAAUGGCAUCUACGCAAAGUUAACGACCAAUGGAAAUUUAACCCGUGACAAAGCUUCGCUAGAUCUGAGUGUCGCAAAUGGAAGCACCGCCAAGACCAUGUCUUAACAGACGAUGUGAUGCCAACUGAAGAAAAACUAAGUCGUAAUUAUAUGUCUUUGUACAUAUCGGUCGGAUUUGAGUUCAUCGCCGAGGAUAUGUACCUAUACGACCCACACCAGGCAACUUACACACCAAAAGGCUCAACAUCUACCCCCUAACAACAUUGUCAGACCGACUACUCACAACCCUCUAUCCAUCAAAAUUUUCGAUCCACAAACACACAAACAUACAACCCUAACAUGCCAUACACCCAACCAUAAUGCCAAGAGCAUACCCCGUACCACCAACAACAACUAGAUCAUCAUCAAGAGACCCAACAUCGCUAUGCACCCAACACAUCACCCUACCAUAGCCGCCUUAGCCAAAACACUCAAUGAUCAUUUAACAUCAACCGUCCUUCCUCCUACCAUAGCCAAGAAGCCCAAACAUCUCAAAACCAAAACCUUCAACAACCAUAUGUCUACCAAACACCACAACAAUCAUUCCAACCUUUCCUCAACACAUCAUUCACACCAAUGUCUCCCUUCAAUCGUCCCGGUCGCCCUCCAACAACUCAAACACAUCCCAACUACUUUGGCAUGGGUCAUAAACUCAGCUAUGGAGGUACCCCUUCUAUGCAUACACAAGACUAUGAUGAUUUGUCUUACUAUCUCAGGAAAACUCCUACAGUUGGUGGUGAUGUUCCCGGACCCUCAGAUACUCAAACACCUGGGGUGAUUCAUCAACGUAGGUUAUGGCCACGAGUUCGGGUAGCUAGGGGAUGUGGGGCUGGAGGUCGGUUAGGUGAUCCCGGUCAUCGACAUUAGUCUUUUUUGUGUAAACGAGUAUUAAUAUUAAUAUGAAUUGUUCUGAUUUCGACUUUAUCUAUCAUGUACAAUGUUUUAAAAAAAAAUACGAAACACACACAGGUUCCAAACAAAUUGGCACCUCCUUUAAAACUUAACACAUAGGCGCCAAUUAGAUUGGCAACACAAGGUGGCCUAACUAAUCCAAUUGGCGCCUCUUAUCUAAGUUUAAGAGGAGACGCCAAUUCAUCUGGCGCCUCCUCUUCAAAGUGGGGUAGAUUGGGAUUUUUUUUUGAAAACAAGGUUAUUUUGGGAUUUUUUUAAAAAAACAGUGGUAUUUGGGUAGAAAAUUCUUUUAUUAAAGUGAAAAUUGCAGUAAUAUAUAUAUAAGCAACCAAAACAUUAUUUACAAACUACAUUAUUCGACUCUAUUGAAUACUAAUACUUACUUACAUGCUUCGACACUUACAUGUUGUAUUUGACUCUAUCAAAUACAACCAUAUCGAACACUUCUUUCCUACUAAACAAUAUUUUAUUAGCUUCUAACACACCACCUAAUUCAUAUUUUCAAGACUUCUCAUCAAAAUACUUCUCUUUAACUCAUCAAAAUUGGCUUUCUUCAGGGGCAUGAUGAGUAUAUCAGCUAGUUUUCAUUCUAACAUGAAAAGCUCAAGUUCAAAUUUUCCUUUAUUGACUUGAUCCCUAUGCAAAAGACACCUCCUCUCUAUGUACUUACUUCGACCAUGACACACACGAUAAUUUUCCAAAUUGAUAGUUGACUUGUUGUUGACAAAUAACUUCAUUUUCUUUGGUUCCAUGAUCCUGAGCUCUUCGAGAAAUAUCUCUAUCCAUGAUUCUUGACAUGUUUCAUAUGGUGUAACCACGUACUCAGCUUCACAAGAUGACAAAGCCAUGAUGCUUUGCUUUCUUGAGCUCCAAGAGAUUGGAGCACCUCCAAUCAUGAAUAUGUAGCCUUCGGUAAUCUUCUUCUCAUAUUAAUCUCUAAUGAAAUCUUAAUCAGUGUGGCCAUGUACCUCUGCAUAUAUGUUGGUAUUCCUUCUCCUUGACAUCAACACACCAUGAUCGGUAGUACCUUUUAUGAAUCUCAAUACUCUAUUGACUACAAUGAAAUUACAUUCUCGUAGCUUCUCCAUGAAUUUGUUCAACAACCCGACACUUUGACAAAUAUAUGUCCUGGUGUCGCAUAGAUACCUUAAGGAUCCAGUGAUUUGCUUGUACAGUAUUACACUUAUAAACUCAUAAUUUAUAUCCUUUCUCAAUUUUUCUCCAAUCUCUAAUGGUGUGACAACUGCAUUACAGUUACUCAUCUUGAACCUAUUCAAGAUAUCUUGGACAUACUUCUUCUAGUGCAAAAACACUUUUAACUUGUGUCUUUAAACUUCAUCCCUAAGAAAUACGACAAGUUCCCUAGGUUGGACAUUUCAAGUUCCUGCAUCAGAUUCAACUUGACCCCUUUUACUUAUGAUUCAUCUGCACAUGUAAUCAACAUAUCAUUUACAUACAAGCAUAUAAUGACUUGACUGAUCCUGAUACACUCCAUGUCCUGAGACGAAUUUGUGAAACUUAACUUGAUGAGGAAACCAUUUAUUCUCUUAUUCCAAGUCCUUAGAGCUCGCUUCAAACCAUAGAGUUAACCUGUACACCUUUUGCUCCUACCUUUUGAUUUCGAAUCAUGGUGGUUGACUGUCAUAGACCUCCUAUUUCAAUGGUCCAUUCAGAAAUGUUGAUUUUACAUCUAGUUGAUGUAUCUUUCAUCCUUUGUAUGUUACGAUCGACAUAAUAAAUACGAUGGUGUCUAACCCUGAAAUAGGUGCAUAGACUUCGUCGAAGUUGAUACCAGGUUUUUGCAGAAAACCUCUUGCCAUCAGUCUUUCCUUAUGCUUGACAAUUUCACCAUUUGGCCCUAGCUUCAAUUUGUAGACUGUUAGAUGCCCAAAAGUGCUUAUUUGAGCUAUCAUAUGUGGGCAUCUUUCACUCUAUUUCCUUGCUAAAUUGUCUAAAUCACCUUUGUUUUAGAUGAAAUGCAGUACAUUUGAUAAACGAGCUUGGGCCUUUGAUUUGUGUGUUAUUGUGCAGGAAGAAGGCAUGAAAUAAUUGAAAAUGAAGACACAAGAAAAUUGGCAAAGGAACCAAUGAAUACAAGCAUUUCAUCAGCCUGCUCGCUAGCGAGGGCUGUGGCGAAGCUACUCGCUAGGCGAGCGCCCAGCGAAAAGCUCCAGUAAAAUGUCAAUAAUUCGCAUAGGCGAGCUGCUAGCGAGGUGGUAGCGAGUUCGUUCAGUUUGGUGAAAAGCGCAGCCAGCACUCACUCGCUAAGCGAGGCUCUAGCGAGUCCCCAGCGAGCAUUCCAGUAGCAAAACCUCUCACCUCGCUGGGGCGAAGGUUGAAGCGUGUCUUCGCUAGCGAAGGUUUUGUUCGCUAGGCGAACAUGACAGUUUGAGAUAGUCUGUUUUCUCUGGGCACAGGUGCCUUUGGUGCCACAAUUAGACCUCGCUAGGCGAGCCAUUCUGCUCGCAAGCGAGCAUGACAGCCCAGUACUACUCUAUAAGUAGCAGGUGCCACUUUUGAGUGUCAUACCCUAGUUUUUUACAGCAUUUUUCCACUUUUUUACUUUUGUUAGAUAUUUUUACAGCAUUGUUCUUGGGAGCUUUUAUGCCCUAGUUUCAUUCUCUCAUCUUGUAACCAUCUUCUACAAAAGAAGGUGGAUUCCCAUCCAAUAUCGAUUAUCCGACUUGGAUGUUGAUCAACCUUCUUUCGAAACUUGCCGACCAAACUACAUGAAAAUGAGUAGCUAAGUCAUCCAUUUGUCAAGGUUAGAUGUAGGUGAUUACUAGCUUUGUGUGUAAAUGUAAGGAUCUUCAUGUGUAAACUCUUUAAUGGUAAAUAUAUGAUGAAAACUUUUGUUUAUUUAAAACUCUUUGUGUUGGUUUAUGAUCGAGAGAUGUUUACCAACUCUUGACCUAGGUUUUCAUCCAAUCUUGUUUGUUAGCUAGAGAUAGUAAUGAAUGAUUUUGUUCACAUAAGGUUGAACCAAAAAGUUGUCAUUUGAUAGAUUGUGUUCGAGAGAAACAAUGGAUCAAAAUGGGAAAACUCACAAUGUGUGUUCGAGAGAAACAUAUUGGGAGGACUUUGUGAAAUGAUUUAUCAUCUAAAGGAGUUUUAAAAUUGUUGACCGAACAAAUACAUGCAAAGUGAUCAUCGAACCCUAACUUUGGCAAUAUUUUCUCAUUUAUUCAAACCAAAACUUUUACCGCAAUUUAUUACCUUUUUAUGCAAGAUAACCAACCAACCAAAACCCUAUUGUUACAUUGAGCUAAAAUUAAUACAACCAUCGAACGGCGGUGAUAUCUUACAAUCCCUGUGGAUACGAUAACAAAAACCCGACACGUAAAUUUACAACUAACAUAGACCCAUUUCACAUCAAUUGGCUUCUUGAUUGAUUUUUCUACAAGCUUUCAGGUCUUGUUCUUCUCGAUUUCCCUGAGUUCUUCUUGUGUGGAUGCCAAUCAAUUCGAAUCUUUCAUAGGUUAAUCUAAACCAAUUAAUUUUCAUUCAUCCAUUAUCAUCACUUCUUCUAUGAAGUCACCAUCUGCAUCAAUUGCUUGAUCUAGAAAUAUGUCAUAUCUAGCUAGCCUUGUUGACUCAGUUCUCAUUCUAGUCGAUCUUCUAUCAUUUUGCUCAGAUGGUUCUUCAUUUCGAUUGGUUGUGACUUUAGUUUGUUGAUCUUCUUCAAGCACAAUUUUGAUUGUAUCUUGCUCAGUUGAGCUGACCCUUGAGUCCAAUCCCAUCAUUUGUUCUCGUCCACUAGAACAUCCCUAUUGAUCACUAGGUUAUCAUCAUUUCGUGAAUACAACUUUUAUUCACCAGUCAAAUGAUAACCUAUAAGCAUCAUAGCCUAACUUCAAUCGUCUAGCUUCAUCCUCAAUUGUUUAGGUACAUGCCUGAAACACGUUGAUCCAAAUAAUCUAAGAUGACUAACAUUUGGCUUCUUCCCUGUCCAAGCCUCAUAAGGUGUCUUCUCGACUAUAUUUGGACAUCUAUUUAGAAUGUUUAUUGUUGUCGAGGUUGUUUCACCCUAAAAUCUCUUUGGCAUUCCUUUAGCUUUCAACAUACUCUAAGUCAUGUUCAAUAUACUUAUAUUUCUCUUCUCAACUAUACCAUAGUGUUGAGGUGUAUAGGAUGUGUCAUACCCCAAAAUUUGUCAUUCACUUUUACUUUUCAUCUGGCAUGUCCUUUAACUCAUCUAUAUAUUCAUGUAAUGUUCAUCUACAUCAUAUCUUCAACUUGUAAUUUUUCAAAACAAGCACCAUGGAUUCUAAGGUAUAUUGUUAUUCAUGACUGACAUGUGAUGGAACUUUGGUGGUGCAUCUAAAUGGGGAAGAUCAUCAUUCUUGGGGCUUGAGAUCUUGGUUUAUAUGGAUUGUAUCAUGGUAGUUGAUUUGAUCAUAAAACAAUUCUUGAUUCUUGACUCUUGUGGAUCAUAGGGCUUGCAUAUAGACAUUGGAUUUGUUGUUAUGUUUACUUAGUCAACCAUGAAAGAUUGAAUGUGGUUGGUUAAAUCUCUUUAGGGGCUUGUUCAUCACUCUAGUCCAGUGUUUGAUUGGUUUGAAUUUAAGGACACGCAUUGUGGUCCGUUUAAGAUUCAUGAUUCAUGUUCAAAUUCAAGGUUAAGUUUUGUUCAAAGAAUUCAAGGGCAAGAUUCAAUAUUUCAAAUUUGGAAUUGGAGGGAGAGAUGUUAGCUUGGAAAUCAAGUCACAUUGCAUUACAAAAGAAUCCAUUGAAUUACCAAAACAUUCACACAUUCCAUUACAAAAAGGUCCAAAAUCAAGUUUCACAAAAAAAUAUACAACUUUGACCUACAGUUGACUUUGGUCAAAUGUUGAGUUUUUGGUCAACUAGUUGACCAAACUCAACUUUCUAGUUCUAACCCUAAUUAUAACACUAUCUUCACUCCCAAGCUAUCCAUAGUCUCGUUAUUCAUGAUUCUUGAUCUUUUUACCAAAGUACCAUGAUCAUGUCAAAGUCCAUAUCCAACCUUGUCUAUGCCUAGCAUGCUUUCACCCUACAAGGACACACACAAUCCACAAUUAGAAAACCAAGCCUACCAUAGCAUGUUCAUUGCAUCAUCUAUAACAUUCAUUAACUAUACUAAAAUAUGUAUAUUCAGUUACAUUUUGAAGAUAUUAAUGAGUUAAGCGUAUAAUUUACCAUUCAUCACAAUUAGCACAAAUACACCAAAACAUAUAAGUUAAUCCAACAUAACAGGUAGGAUAAUUUUCACAAUCAAGUUCUAACAUUCACAUUUUGAAAAGGGAUUGGAAAUAUGCACUGAGGCAAAAUUUGAUUUGAUUGGUUGGGGUUGAUUUUAGUAUGGAGACAAACAUCAUACCCUUGGCUAGAUACGAUCAACAAUCCUAACACUUGGGAAUUGAGAGGACAAUGGUAUCCUAACCGCUACUUUUCAUCCAAAAGAAAUUUGAAUUGUGAAAGAGUUUGGUAAGUCUAAUCAUUGGUACUUAGAGGGAGACAAGUAUAUGACAUUUGACUAAGUACGACCAAAAAUCAGAAUACUCGGGGUUCGAGAGGACAAUGGCAUCCUAACCACCCUUUUUCUCCCUCAUAGCACCUAGAUUAAACAUGUUUUAAUCAUUAGAUGUUUUAAGGAGGAGUCAAGUGUCGGGUCCCCAAGCUAGGCACGACCGACAACCCAAGUACUUGAAUGUUGUGUACAAGCACGUACACCCUAUUUUUGCGUUCCAUAUUGUUAUAAAAAUGUUUUUGGAAAAGGCAUUUGACGUUGGAUCAAGCACUUGGAUUUACUAUGAAAGUGUGUGUGAAUAGAGGUAGAGAGAUAGAAUGAGAAGAGAAUGGCUAAUGGAAUGGAUGAGAUACUUGAAGUUUGACCAAGCACUCGCAUUGCUAUGAAGUGAGUUUGAUUUGGAAAACACUUGAUGUUGGAUCAAGUAUGCCUUUGUCUUUUAAAAAGGCUUUAUUUUAUCGUUUGUUUUUAUCUUUUUAGUUAGCAUGCAUGAUAAACUAUAAAAGAAAAUAAACAUAGGCUAUUACAUUUUCAUGGGAUGGAGGGAUAUUACCCAUAAUGGGGGGGUGGAACCACACAAUACAAAGUAGAGGAAAGAGAUUAAACAAGUUACAAACCAAGUACCAUGCCUAAAACAAUCAAGUGGCAUGGUAUCCUUACAUAAUACAAGGCAAAAUGAAUGGAUUAGAGGUCAUGAUAACUUGGAUCCAACUUGAAUCUCAAUGGAUAUGUGAACACAAACAUAUGGAAUUAGUAUGGAUUGACAAAUGAAUUAAAUGGGAAUUAAGAUGACAAAUGCUAAUUCAUUUAAAAUGAUAAUGUAAUGGUGAUGAGAUCAUGGUAAACAAUAUGGACAUACAAGUAUACAUCAUAUUAAAUUGAAAUAGAAUUUUCAAUUAAUUCAAUUAACCACAAUCUAAAUGAAAAAUUCAAUUAAAUGGAAUUAAAAUGCAUGAACAUGGCAUACUGAAAUUCAUGGCUCAAAGGCAAACACAAUUUAAACCUAACUAUGUUAAUUUCUACAUGGAAAUUAUGGAUAAAAAAAUCAAGAAUUAAAUGUUAAUUGAUUAUUUAUUUUUCUAUGCACUUUCCAAAUGUGAUUAACAAAAUAAAUAAACCCUAAACAUAUUAAUAUCUAAAUCUAAUCAACUAAAUAAUUAAUCACGCAUUUUUAUUAUUUCGAAUCAUGGUAAUAAGGCAAUUAAAAUCAAAAUCAAGAAAUUAAAAUCAUGAGAAAUAUGUGAAGAAAAUAGCAUGAAAAUAUGAAAGAAAAAUCAAAAGGAAAAAACAAAUGGGUCGGGGGAUUCAGAACUAGACAUGGGUGUUGGUAUCAACCCAAACACAUGGACCUAGGGCUAAAGGCCCAUUGAAUCCGAAUCUUGGCCAGGGGGUAUGAUGAGCAAGUUAGAGUGAUAUGAAGUAAAAUUCUUGCCAGGCCCAUGUACAUGGGGCCCAUUCAGAAACCAAGCAAAUGAAUUUCACAAAUGAACAUGUGAAUCAACCAUAAAUUUGCACGUGUGGAAAUAAAAUUCAGAUGAAAUUUAAAUUGAAUUGGGAAACACACACUAGCUCAGGUCAUGCUCAGAUGAACCUCUAUGGGCCACCGUACCGGAAAUUGCCUUUGGAGGCGGUGGCUACCGGAAAUGAAAAUUAGACACCAUUCCAUUCGUCUUGACCUCCCCUCUUCGAAUCUCUACUCAAUUUCUCAAAAUUCUACGCCAAGGUUCAAAACUGAGUCACAAAUCCUUAAGAACCCUAAAUGUAAUCCCUAAAUUAAAUGCUAAUCUUGAAGAUUCAAAGCCCCUGGGAUUGGGGCUUUGAAUCCCCUCUCACUGCUCUACAUUCUAGUAACAAGAAAACAGCGAAAAGAGGAAUUUUUCAGACGUACCUUGCCGAAGAUGAUGAAAUUGGGGAUGGCAAAAGUUCCAGGUAAUGAAUCUGAAACUCUUUCUUGCUCUUGAUUUUUAUCCUCUUCUUCUUGAUUCUUCUUCUGAAAAGCGAAUUAAGUUGAAUUGAAAUUCGAGGGUGAGAUUGAGUGAUUGUUGGGAAGAGGGAAAAGUUGAAUGGAGAGUGAUAAAGAUGUUGAUUAUGAUGAUAAAGGUGUUGAUUAUGAUGAUAAAGGUUGAAUAUGUUGAGGCUUGAGAGUGAUGGACGAAUUAUAUUCAACUUUAAUGAUCGAGAGUGUUUUUGAUGUGAGAGUUCUUUGGUGUUUAUGAUGAAUGAUUGAGGGUUGUAAGAGUCAAUCUGAGAGUGAAUGAUUGGAGGUCCUGAAAAUGAAUGAUUGAGAGGGUUUUAUAGGUAGUUAUGGGAAUUGGGAUUAACAAAGUUGGUAAUGGAAGUUGGGAAAUGGCGGAAUCGAGGCAAAGGGUUGUAAUUGACUUUUUGUUCUGAUUUGUUGAUCCCCAUGUCACUCCAGUUGGCAUGGUAGUUAGUGAAACUUAUGAUUGUGAUUAGUUAGUUCAGUUUCUAUUAGGUUAGUUUGCAGGGAUUAUGUUUGGAAUGACAGUUAGUUGUGAUGCUUUGUGAUGUGAAUGACUUGGAUGUGGUUUACAUUGGUUCCCAACUUGAUCUGUUGUUGCAUAUUGCUACCAUGCUCCUAUAUGAUUUUCUACAGGUUCCUGAUGUGAAUUGCAGACUCAUAUGCUCUAUAUUCUAGGAAUUUAUUGGCUUGCUCAUGAAUAAUCCAUUGUAGGGGUGUUGCUGACUGAUGUAAGUCCAUUUUCAUUGCAUUUCUUAACAUAGUUCUGCAGGGUUUAUUGCAAGCAGGAUGCAAUGUUUGUGAGGUUUCAUGGCACUGAAUGCAGGGUUGCUAUGUUUGUAAUGGUCUAGCAUGCUUUUUUUCUGAAUUGGCUCAGUGUUGAUGUUAGCAUGACUUGGUGAAUGUAUGUGUGUUUUUUUGUUGUUGCAAGUUUACAUGGUUCUUAUAGGUGUUGGUUUACAUUGCAAGUUUUACUGCAAGUGUUCAUGUACUGCAUAACAAGUGUGUCCUUGGAUUGAUGUUGGACAUUACUUUGGCUUGGCAUAUGGCUUGAACUUGGUCUACAUCAGGGUUUAUAUUGUGGUUUUGCAAGUGUUUAUGGCUUGCUGCUUGGUGUUUUGCAAAGCUUCAUUUGGUUAGAUCUAGUUGCAACAAGUCUGGCUUUGGCUCAUGUUUCAUUACAUUGUUAACUGGUGGUAUGGAUUUGGUUAGGCUACAUUGCAGCAAGGUUUUGUAGGUGUGCAUUGUGACAUGGUAAGCCUUGAUAUAGGUCAUGAACACAUGGUGUGGAUUGUUGAACAACGGCUUGCAAUAUGAUGUCAUCAAGUUUGCACUUUGAAGUAUCAAUGACAAAUGGCAACAAUUAAGUAGGAAAUUUGAAGAUUAGAAAUGGGAUUUAGGAUUUGGGGAUGUAAAAUAGUUGAGUUGACUUUGGUCAAAGUUGACCAAAAAUUCAACGAUUGACCAAAGUCAACAUUUGGUCAAUGUGUCAUUUUUGUAGAUUUUUUCAUUUAUCGACACUUGUAAUGAAUAUGUAAUGAAUGGAAUUUGAUAUUACAUGAAAUUGACUUUGAAUAAAUCUUGUAUGAACUUGGUAUUUGAAAUGAAUGAAUUUGAUGUUGAAUGAAUUGUAUUUGAAUUGACA
rnacentral:lncRNA from 1 species